rnacentral:rRNA from 1 species
AGCAGCCGCGGUAAUUCCAGCUCCAAUAGCGUAUAUUAAAGUUGUUGCAGUUAAAAAGCUCGUAGUUGAACUUCGGGGUCUACCCAUUGGUCAGGCUUAUUGUCUGCACUGGUGAGAUGGAUCUCUACCUUCUGAGGAACUUUCAUGCCAUUUAUUUGGUGUGGUUGGAAAUCAGGACUGUUACUUUGAAAAAAUUAGAGUGUUUAAAGCAGACUAUCGUCUGAAUACAUUAGCAUGGAAUAAUGAAAUAGGACGGACUGAUUCUAUUUCGUUGGUUCUAGGAUCACCGUAAUGAUUAAUAGGGAUAGUUGGGGGCAUUAGUAUUCAAUUGUCAGAGGUGAAAUUCUUGGAUUUAUUGAAGACUUAAC